rnacentral:misc_RNA from 1 species
UUCCUGCUUCUCCUUUAAAAGAUGUACCCCUGUUUGCACCUGCAUGUUAUUGAUGACAAACAACCACGCACAAUACAGUGAUCCACAAAUAUGGUAUAAAUGCAACCUUAGAAUCCACUUAUAAAUUAUGCUCUGAUCACCCACACAAAGAAAAGUAAAACUCUUUAUGAAACCUUGGUUUCAUGAAAAAUAUGAACAUUUAUUAACACGUCAUCA